CCAAUAGCGUAUAUUAAAGUUGUUGCAGUUAAAAAGCUCGUAGUUGAAUUUCGGGAUCAAUAUAUUGGUCGUGCCUCCGGUAUGCACUGGUAUUAUUGAUUUCUACCUUCUGACGAACUGUGAUGUCAUUAAUUUGGUGUCAUGGGGAAUCAGGACUGUUACUUUGAAAAAAUUAGAGUGUUUAAAGCAGGCACACGCUUGAAUACAUUAGCAUGGAAUAAUGAAAUAGGACGUUUGACCCUAUUUUGUUGGUUUCUAGGAUCGACGUAAUGAUUAAUAGGGAUAGUUGGGGGCAUUAGUAUUCAAUUGUCAGAGGUGAAAUUCUUGGAUUUAUUGAAGACUAACUACUGCGAAAGCAUUUGCCAAGGAUGUUUUCAUUAAUCAAGAACGAAAGUUAGGGGAUCGAAGACGAUCAGAUACCGUCGUAGUCUUAACCAUAAACUAUGCCGACUAGGGAUCGGAUGAUGUUAAUUUUUUAAUGACUCAUUCGGCGCCUUACG
rnacentral:rRNA from 1 species